AGCCAGGAUCAUGCUACUGCAUUCCAGCCUGGGUGACAUAGAAAGACUCUGGCUCGGAAGGAAGGAAGGAAGGAAGGAAGGAAGGAAGGAAGGAAGGAAGGAAGGAAGGAAGGAAGGAAGGAAGCAGUAAUGCCCACAGCCCUUGGGUUUUCGUAGCUCAUCCCUCCAUCCAUCCACUCAUGGGAUAAACAUCAGAUGAACAUCUGAGUACUAGGUGCUGUGCUGAGCCCUUGUCUUCCAAAGACAAGGAAGACUCAUCUCCCGUACAGUGCCCAGUUCCCAGUUCCCAGCUCAUGCCUCUGUGCUUUUCCAGCCCUGGGAAAUUGUCGUGGACAUUUGCUGGCACUGGGCCACUCAGCCUUGGUUUCCCCUCACAGCUCUCUGCUCUCCCUUCCCAUUGCCUGCCUCCUGCCAGCACAGUCUUGGUGAGACACUACAUCGGCGAGCCUUGCCCUCCCAUCCUGGAAGCCAAAGGGAUCUCUGAAGGUUUUCCCUGCCACAGUUCUUCCUCUCCCUGCCCCAGUGAGAUUAAAGCAUCGACACCUGACCUCAAUCCUUCCGGUCAGAGCCCUUCCCAGGACUUUGAAACAAGGUAGGAGAGGCAGUUGACUUCUCCACCACAGCCACACAGCCUGACUGCCAGCAACCUCUCUGCUGCUUCCUGUUCUUUGUCCAGACCUAGUUCUCCAGCCUUCCUGUGGGUUCUGGGCAUCUCCAAAGUUUUCUUUUUAAUUUAAAGACAACCAGAGUUUGUUUCUGUUUCCCACAGUUAAGGAUCCCCAGCCAGGCAUGGUGGCACACGCCUAUAAUCCCAGCACUUUGGGAAGCCAAGGCGGGAGGACUGCUUGAUGCCAGGGGGUCCAGACCAGCUUGGGAAACAUAGUGAAACCCUGUCUCUACAAAAGAUUUUAAAAUUAGCUCUGCUUAGUGGCAUGGCCUGUAGUCCUAGCUACUCGGGAGGCUGAGGCAGGAGGAUCUCUUGAGCCUCAAGAGGGUUCAAGGUUACAAUGAGCUAUGAUGGAACCACUGUACUCCAGCUUGGUAACAAAACAAGACCCAGUCUGUAAAAAAUAAAUACAUUUUUAAAAAAGAUCCUUGACCAACAUACUGGGUUCUGGCUGUUAUUUCAAUUGUAUCUAACAUGCUGGAAACAUACUUUGCCAAGCACCUGUUCUGGGCCAGGUGUUGUGGAUAUAUUGACCUGGAGGAAGACAGACAAGUAAACCGUCAGUGUUUAAAUUACGGGAAAUGUUGUGGAACCCUAGAGAACAAUAGAGGAAGAGGUCAGCUCCACCUGAAGGGAGGAGGGGCCAGGAAAGCUUCAGAGAGCAGGUCAUCCCAAGUGGGGGGUCCCUGUUUUUGCCCCUGCCCCCACCUGCAGCCCCUCAGCCUUCUCAACACAGCAACCUGAGGGAUCAUUUACAAAUCAGAUCAGGUCACAGCUGGGCUCAGAGCUCUCGGAUGGCUCUCAUCUCACUCAGAGUCAAAGCUGAGGUCCUGCUGAAGCGGCGUCAUUAUCUGGGGUAAACACCUGAGGUUCCUUGUCUCACGCCAGGGAAAUUGAAGACAUGGACACACAAGAAGUGAGUUUAAGAGUGGAGGUUUAACAGGCGAAAGAAAGAGAAAAAGAGAAUGGCUUUCUUUCCUGCAGAGAGAGAGAGAGAGAGGGUCCUGAGUGGAUCUUCCGGUUUUGUGGUUAAAAGCACGGGUUUUACAGAGGAACUUGAUGAGAAGGUGGUGUCUGAUUUACAUAGGGCCUGAGCGAUUGGUUGGGCCCGGUGUGACGUUUGCAUAGUGCGUGAAAAAGCUGGCCAUCCCACCCUAAUCUUUUAUUAUGUAGAUGGCGUCUCUGUCUGGCCGGCGCCAUGUUGUCUGUUCCUUACUGUACAUGUGGUUGACAAAGAAAAGGGAAGAUGGAGCCUCCAUGUUGAACAUGACAUUUUGGCCCCCAGGUAGCAUUUUCCUAUUGGCACAGCUGCCAGCAAUCACCCGUGCAAGCUUCCAGCUUGCUUACCUAUGUCUGCAGCUUGAUUUUACAGGCUGCUCUUUGUUAGAAAAAGAAAUGAUUUGGGGGCUGCUUUUUAUUAAAAGGAAAACCUUACCGAGGACUUCCUUACCCUCAUUAUCUGCCUAAGAAAUUUCUUUUAUUUUUAUUUUAUUUUAUUUUAUUUUGAGACAGAGUCUUGCUCUGUUGCCAGGCUGGAGUGCAGUGGUGCGAUCUUGGCUCACUGCAGCCUCCGCCUCCCGGGUUCAAGCAAUUCUCUUACCUCAGCCUCCCGAGUAGCUGGGACUACAGGCACGCACCACCAUGCCCAGCUAUUUUUGUAUUUUUAGUAGAGACAGGGUUUCACCAUGUUGGCCAAGAUGGUCUUGAUCUCUUGACCUCGUGAUCCGCCCUCCUCGGCCUCCCAAAGUGUUGGGAUUACAGGCGUGAGCCACCAUGCCUGGCCAGAAAUUUCUUUUUAACUCCUAUAUCACUACGAUGCUCUACAAGGCCUUAUAUGCCAGCAAAGACUGUAUCACCUGGUCCCUGUGCAGCUGGGUAGGGCCUAGUGCCAACCUCAGCAAUGGAAUGAAACUGCAGUAGACUUUGGAGUUUGCUGAAAUGUAACCUCAGAAUAAGUGGGGUGUGACUGCCCUCUCUCCUUUGAGGGAAAAGAAAACGUAUUUUCAGGCCAGGCACGGUGGCUCAUGCUUAUAAUCCCAGCACUUUGGGAGGCUGAGAAUACAUCAAUAAAAGAAGAACAAUUCAAGAGAAACAGGAACUUCACAGAAGAGGAAACCGGAAUUGUCAUAAACAAAUGAAAAAUGCUCAACCUCACUAGUAGUUAUGAGAAUUCAAAACAAAAUAAAGACUUCAUUUCACACUCAUCAGAUUGGCAAAAAUUAAAAAGCCUAAUAACACCAUAUUGGCAAAGAUAAUGGGGAAAUGAGAAGUCAUAAGCGGCUGUUGGGAAUAUAAAUUGGUAGAAGCUUAAAAUCUUUUAUUUGCAAUUCCAAAAUAGAAAAAUUCUGAAAACUAAGUUUGCUCCCCUAAAUUUGGUUUAAACUCCUUUAUGUAUGUAUGUAUGUAUGUACGUAUGUAUGUAUUUAUUUUUGAGAUGAGUCUUGCUCUGUCGCCCAGGCUGGAGUGCAGUGACGAGAUCUCGGCUCACUGCGUUCUCUACCUCCCGGGUUCAAGAGAUUCUCCUGUCUCAGCCUCCUGGCAACCUCCAUCACAUCUGGCUAAUUUUUGUAUUUUUAGUAGAGAAGGGG